rnacentral:snoRNA from 1 species
UUGCGAUGAUGAAAGCUUAAGAAGUCAUUUAAAGCAUUUCUAUAGGUGCGAUGUGAUAUCAACAUGGUGGAGACCAUGUUGUUCCUGAGCGGUUAGCUGAGCAA